AGCCUCAGCCACACAGUGAGCCACCUGUGCCAGAGAGACCUGUAUGGGUCUGGAUCCCCCAGGAAGAAGCCGGGCUGCCUGCUCUGAGGAUGAUGAUGACGCUUGCAUUGCCUGCCCUGCCUGCUCCUGCCCAGAUCUGCCCACUCAGAGAUGAUGCGGGGCUUUGACUUGGGCUCAGCAGUGACUUUAGUUCAUUUCAGGUCCAGCUCAUGGAUGGUUCCAGUUCGUUGGUGGCCCCAGAUAGUUUCAACUCCGGUCCAGAUCCAGCCUGUCCUUGCAUGCAGCACAUUUCAGGCUCCAGCUGGGUUUCAUCUUUUCUGUCUUCAUUUCAGCUCCAUCUUAUUUGCAGCUCCACUUUGGCUCCAUCUGCAGCUCACCUGUGGCUCCAGCCUUCAGAGGGUGCCCGUGGCUUAUGACAGCAUCAAAGUGGGAGUCGAGCUGGGGGACAUUUACGACGACCAAGGGUUCAUCCACCUGAACAUCGAGGACUUCAUCAUCUUCAGCCCCAAGAAAAGGAAAAAAAUGGUGGCCUCUGGGACUUAGAAGUCACCUGAGGCGUUCAGGGCCACCCUGGAGGAGGUUUUAAGAAACUGGAUCUAAAGGAAGGUGUCCCUGCCCGUAGCAGGGGGAUUGGCACUGGAUGAUCUUGAAGGUCCCUUCCAACCCAAACCGUUCCAUCAUACUGUGAUUGCCGAUCCAGGUUCAUUUCUGGUUUGGGAGGAAUUGCAUGAAGAGUGUAUCAGAAGACCUUUGAUUGCAGUGAAGAAUUACCUUCGUAUGAUUUUUUUCUUUAUUAGGGUGUAGUUAAUAAAGUGGCCCCUAGUCAUAUUGGCUGCCUGAUACGUGGAUGCCUCAACGCUUCUGUCCCUAAACCUGAACAAAUGUCGAUUGUACAGUGGCAAGAGCUGGGGUUAAAAAUAGGGGAUGAACUGAAAUUUCAAGUAUUGCCUUUGGAUUCUGAUGCAGCAGGGGUGUUCUUCACUCGAGGAGGACUCACUAAGAGCAGGUGGUGUGCCAUACUAGAGCAUAUUUUUUACUGUUUUAAUGGAUUUGUUACAAGCUAAAUGAUUUGAAUGAACAUCUUAAUCUUUGUGCAUAACCGAGAAAGCUUAAAGCCAUACCUAUAUACAGCCUGUGUUCGUUACCCGAAACUAAACUUUCAGGUGUUAAAGACUCGCAUGGGAGUUUUCUCCUAAAGACUAAAAGUAGAUUUUGGUUUAGCUUUAAAAAGCUAAGUGUGCCGACCUGUGAACUGUUGAUUGCACAAAUAGUACAUGUUCAAAAUAAGCCCCCGGGUGUGUAGAGUAGGUGUGUUUAGAAAUGUGGGUAGUCUUUUCAAGUGAAACCACUCAGUUCUUGAACACAGGAUUUAAUUUUGUAUUUUCACACACACCUAUUAUGAAACCGCACUUAUAUAUGAUUUAAUACUUGCUGACGCACAAGAAUAUACUUGAUCUCAGACAUGACAAAAGAACAUGCAUCACCUUCUUGCUUUCCCUUGUGCCUCCGUAAAUUUUUAGAGCAGCUUGCUAAAAUCUUAAGAGUGGUAUCUUUAGAAGAGCUUGUUCAGAUAUUUGGGGUUUUUUAAAAUGGUCAUUUGCCAAGCAAUUUUUUUCUCCCCAUGUGGUUAUAUUUUUAAUUAAAAGUACAACAUGACUCCUACUGGCAAAACCAUAACAGUUUAUGGUUUGGAGUUUGGGGGUUUUUUUGUUUGGUUGGUUUUUUUUUUUUAAUUUGGAAGGAUGCUCUGGAAUGUUUCAGUGAAUUCACAAUCAAAUUUAAGGAUUUUGUUCUCAGUGCCUCUGGGGACGCAUCCUCCUCCACAAUUUUUGACUGCGUUAUUUCCAUAUUUGUCUUCCUUGACAGUUUUUCAAGUGCUCUGAGUUGCAAGGUACCUGCUGGGGUUUGGAUUUUUGUUCUUUUUUUCCUGACUCUUCUGACAUCACCUCUGUUUUAACUGCAUAGGCGUCAGCAAGGCAGCUGUUUGGUAAAACCAGUGGUGUGUGUCUCAUGGAUGAGUGGACAGGCUGUUGGCGGCGCGUGUUUGUGAACAACUUAAAAAUAUUUGCGACACAACAUCACAAUGUGUAAUUAUGAAUUAGUGGAUGAAGUGGAAAAAAAGAGGAAGCAUCAAAAUGGUCUGUACAGCGUUUUUGAGAAGAAAAUUGGGCUAAGGUUUGAACAAGAAUAUUGUUUCUAUGGGAAGUAGGAAGCUAGUCGGGUAACAGAAGUUACUCUGAAACUAUUAAACUGACUUUAUGAUUUUCUGGGACUAGAGUAUAAUGUUCUCCAUUUGUUGUUGUUUUUCAAGAAUGCUUAUCUUUUAUCUACUUGGUAUAAUAAACACUGUAUUUUGGCCAGUUUUGACAUUUCACCGUGUGGGGUGCACUUAGAUGUCUCUACUUCAGCUUAUUUUCUAUAUUUCUUUUCAGCAUGAGGCCAAAAAAAUCUGAGACCAUCACUGACAGUACAAAUGGAGAUGAAAUUCCAAAUCCUGACCAUGAGAAAGAGAGCUUCAAUGGCUUUGGGGGAGGUAAUGUCACAGAGCAGCCUCUAGGUGAGACAGGGAACACUGGGAGGGAAAAUGGAGAAGAGCAGAAUAUUGAUGCUAUGAAUGGAGUAUGUGAUGAUUGAAAACAAGAAGAAAAAGAAAAAACAUAAGCAAGAAGAGCAGGAACAUGUAUUGCCUACUAGUGACUCCAGGGGGUACCAAAGUGACCAUAAAAAGUCAAAGAAAAAGAAAAGGAAGCAUUGCGAUGAAGUUGAAGCAAGUGAAUUAUCUCAGAUGUCACAAGAGCCCAAAGCUAAAAAGAAAAGGGACUAAAGGCUGAAGUGCCUUUCCUGAAUAAGAUUCAGACAUUUUUAUAAGCUUCCAAUGAAAUCCAGUUUUCAAAACGUGUAUGUAUAUUUCUUUACUAAACAUCCUGCUACAUGGGGUGACGGUUGUGUGCGUAUGUGCACAAACACCUCUAAAUGCAGGAGCAUCUGAACAAGUGACAGAAGAAAGUCCCAGUGGCUGAGCUUUCUUUUCUUAUUCUCAUAAGAGGCCACGAAUGCCUGUGAAGGAAACUUUACAGCCUGACUUAACCUUUAGGUAAACUUUUGAGGCUCUUGGAUCUUUUAAAGAAGAACAUGAUCUAUUGAUUCAGAGCAAGCAGAGAAGGCGGAAGACUCAUGCGCUCUAGUAUAACGACAUACCCCUUACA